rnacentral:rRNA from 1 species
AUGGACUCGCGGCCUAUCAGCUUGUUGGUGAGGUAAUGGCUUACCAAGGCGACGACGGGUAGCCGGCCUGAGAGGGUGACCGGCCACACUGGGACUGAGACACGGCCCAGACUCCUACGGGAGGCAGCAGUGGGGAAUAUUGCACAAUGGGCGCAAGCCUGAUGCAGCGACGCCGCGUGAGGGAUGACGGCCUUCGGGUUGUAAACCUCUUUCAGUAGGGAAGAAGCGAAAGUGACGGUACCUGCAGAAGAAGCGCCGGCUAACUACGUGCCAGCAGCCGCGGUAAUACGUAGGGCGCAAGCGUUAUCCGGAAUUAUUGGGCGUAAAGAGCUCGUAGGCGGUUUGUCGCGUCUGCCGUGAAAGUCCGGGGCUCAACUCCGGAUCUGCGGUGGGUACGGGCAGACUAGAGUGAUGUAGGGGAGACUGGAAUUCCUGGUGUAGCGGUGAAAUGCGCAGAUAUCAGGAGGAACACCGAUGGCGAAGGCAGGUCUCUGGGCAUUAACUGACGCUGAGGAGCGAAAGCAUGGGGAGCGAACAGGAUUAGAUACCCUGGUAGUCCAUGCCGUAAACGUUGGGCACUAGGUGUGGGGGACAUUCCACGUUUUCCGCGCCGUAGCUAACGCAUUAAG